rnacentral:rRNA from 1 species
GACGAACCGUGCGAACGUUGUUCGGAAUCACUGGGCUUAAAGGGCGCGUAGGCGGGCCACCAAGUCCGCGGGGAAAUCCCCCGGCUCAACCGGGGAAGUGCCGCGGAUACUGGGGGCCUCGAGGGAGGUAGGGGCGUGCGGAACACUGGGUGGAGCGGUGAAAUGCGUUGAUAUCCAGUGGAACUCCGGUGGCGAAGGCGGCACGCUGGACCUCAUCUGACGCUGAGGCGCGAAAGCCAGGGGAGCGAACGGG